UACGUAGGGGGCAAGCGUUGUCCGGAUUUAUUGGGCGUAAAGAGCGUGUAGGCGGCCAGGUAGGUCUGCUGUGAAAACUCGAGGCUUAACCUCGAGCUGUCGGCGGAAACCAUCUGGCUAGAGUCCGGAAGAGGAGAAUGGAAUUCCCGGUGUAGCGGUGAAAUGCGCAGAUAUCGGGAAGAACACCCGUGGCGAAGGCAGGUCUCUGGGCCACUACUGACGCUGAGAAGCGAAAGCAUGGGGAGCGAACAGG
rnacentral:rRNA from 1 species